rnacentral:rRNA from 1 species
GACGAACGCUGGCGGCGUGCUUAACACAUGCAAGUCGAACGGAAAGGCCCUGCUUUUGUGGGGUGCUCGAUUGGCGAACGGGUGAGUAACACGUGAGUAACCUGCCCUUGACUUUGGGAUAACUUCAGGAAACUGGGGCUAAUACCGGAUAGGAGCUCCUGCUGCAUGGUGGGGGUUGGAAAGUUUCGGCUGUUGGGGAUGGACUCGCGGCUUAUCAGCUUGUUGGUGUGGUAGUGGCUUACCAAGGCUUUGACGGGUAGCCUGCCUGAGAGGGUGACCGGCCACAUUGGGACUGAGAUACGGCCCAGACUCCUACGGGAGGCAGCAGUGGGGAAUAUUGCACAAUGGGCGGAAGCCUGAUGCAGCAACGCCGCGUGCGGGAUGACGGCCUUCGGGUUGUAAACCGCUUUCGCCUGUGACGAAGCGUGAGUGACGGUAAUGGGUAAAGAAGCACCGGCUAACUACGUG